AAAGUUUCCGGAUAUGAUGUCAUUAGGCGAAUUUUUUAUACAAAAAAAUUUGUAAUUCACCUAAUGGCAUCAUAUCCGGAAACUUU